ACAAGGACGGUGCUGUGCUCUACUGUGGUGGAGAGGAGUGGAGCAGACGCCUGGCAGACUCACACUCGCACACACUGGCUCAGAGAGACUGAGAGAGAAAGAGAGAGAGCCCAGCGUCACAUCUGCGGGGCUGGGAAGCCUUUCAUCUCACUUCCUCUCACCUGCUGCCCUCCCUCUUCAGUCCUGGUGAUUCCCAGCCCCCCUUCAUUCCUCUCCCACCUCCUCCCUUUGUCAGUGUCCUGUCCUGCAUCCAAAAGUCCUCAUUCUGUCUGGUCCACACCUGAGAAUACAGACUAUCAAGAGGCUAUGGCUGGUUACCCCCCCCCCACCAACCUGCAAUGCACCUAUGACUUCAUACAGCACUUCUGGAUCCUGUCUACUUCUGUCAGGGCUGAGAAUGCAUGAUUGCCCAUGAUCAUCCCCUACCAUUACUCACAAGACAAACAGACCUGAGAACAACAUUGUGCCGCUUAUUGGAUUAAAUAGAUUUAUUAAAGGCAUAAACAAGGAUUUGAGAUAAUUGAGCUCUCAUGGACUGAUCUCCACCCGGGUCGUGAAUAUCUCAUCAUGACAACAGUGAGUAACCAUUGACCUCUGACCUUUUUUAUUUGUCAAAAGUUAAAAGAUGAUUCAUUUUCAGUCAUUAUAUUCUGGCAUAUACUGUGACAUCCAGGGGUUACGCAGAUUGCAAUGCAGCAAAUAAUUGCAUUUGCCACUAAUUUUGGUUGUGCAUCUUAAGUUGACAUAACAAUCCUAUACCAAGUGAUCAAAGAACACAUUUAUACCUUUCAUCACAUAUAUGGUAUUGGGUUUGUUUGCAGUGUUUGGGGACUGAGUGAUGGUAAGUGUCCUGUUUGACAUGGGGCUCUUUUACACCUAUCCCUCUGAGCUAACAAGCCUCCGGAGGAAGAUUCCCUCUAAUUAGGGUCAAACAUAACACUCUGCCUGCUGUCUCUAUCUGACCCUCAGGGUCUAUACGGUUUGCCUUUGUUCACAUCACAGGCAAAUGUAUAGGACAAGACAAGAAAGGGAUAAAUCCAUUAUAGUGCACAGGCAAUAUUUGGGAUUUUUGGCAGUUCUAACUCCAGAUACAUUGCUUAAAGUUAAACCCAAAUUGCUAAUAUGAAAGGAUCAGUUAUGUAUUUUUUGGAAUUAUAUGACGUAAAACAGCUAAGUACUGGUCUGGUGCAGCUGUAAAUAACUGUGAGAACAGUAAGUUACUGUGGAAGAAAAAUCAACAACCACUUCAGUGGAAGUCAGCGUUAUUUCUGCCACUCUUCUCCAUUGCGGUGGCUGUUAUGAUAUAAGGGCACUGAGUGAAGCGGCUCUUUCUUUCAUGAAAGGGGGACCAGGAGGCAACUGAAUGAAUGAAAGGGGGGGAUUGUUCCCUAGUC
ensembl:lncRNA